rnacentral:rRNA from 1 species
GACGAACGCUGGCGGCGUGCUUAACACAUGCAAGUCGAGCGGUAAGGCCCUUUCGGGGGUACACGAGCGGCGAACGGGUGAGUAACACGUGGGUGACCUGCCCUUAGCUCUGGGAUAAGCCUGGGAAACUGGGUCGUAAUACCGGAUAUGACUCCAUAACGCAUGUUGUGGGGUGGAAAGCCUUGUGCGGCUAGGGAUGGGCCCGCGGCCUAUCAGCUUGUUGGUGGGGUGAUGGCCACCAAGGCGACGACGGGUAGCCGGCCUGAGAGGGCGACCGGCCACACUGGGACGUGAGACACGGCCCAGACUCCUACGGGAGGCAGCAGUGGGGAAUCUUGCGCAAUGGGCGAAAGCCUGACGCAGCGACGCCGCGUGGGGA